AUGACUGAGUGUCUUUGGCAGACUGAUUCUAAUAUUCACCAGGCAUUUUCCAAGAACGGCAUAUGUACAGGGCAUUUGUUGUUGGAAGGACUGUCACGAACAAUAAAAGCCACAGAGACGGGGAACCGAGUCAGAAAACAUCACAUGAACAGAAGGUACAAGUCACGCGGUGCACAGACGGACAGAGAGGGGUUAAUACAGCGAGGAGAAUCUGAAGCUGAGCUCUGGCAGCUGCUAAACGGCUCUGACACCUCACCAGCCUUCUCAUUCCAACCAGUAAGCCACCUUCAAAGUUGCUGUCAGGGAGAAACUCGGAAAACUUGGCUCUGGAAGAUCACAGAAUUCCGACGCACAUCGGCAGCAGAAUUCCCAGAGGACGCACAGAGCAGCUCUGAUACACAGGCCUUCACCAAGCCCUUCCCUGCGUUUACUUACAUUUACGUCCAAGGACACUAUCGCACGGAGUUACAAUAUCACAGCUGGAGCAUAAAUCAAAAGUAAUCCUGCAGACAAGCCUCUCUGUGUUCGGAGAAAGCUCAGCAUUUGUAUCUGCCACAAUGCAGUAAUGGAUUUCAUCGGGUUUGGAAAAGAAAGAGGAAACAACGGAAUGGGAUCCGACUUGGAAAUGAUAAGCGUGCAUUUCUGAUGAGUGAAAAUGUCCCAGUUAUUAUCUGUGAGGCAGUUUUAUAUAUAAACAAAUAAAAUGUGAUGCAUUCAAUGCCGGACUGGAUUG
ensembl:lncRNA